rnacentral:rRNA from 1 species
CAGCCGCCGCGGUAAUACGAAGGGGGCUAGCGUUGUUCGGAAUUACUGGGCGUAAAGCGCACGUAGGCGGAUUGUUAAGUUAGGGGUGAAAUCCCAGGGCUCAACCCUGGAACCGCCUUUAAUACUGGCAAUCUCGAGUCCGAGAGAGGUGAGUGGAAUUCCGAGUGUAGAGGUGAAAUUCGUAGAUAUUCGGAGGAACACCAGUGGCGAAGGCGGCUCACUGGCUCGGUACUGACGCUGAGGUGCGAAAGCGUGGGGAGCAAACAGGAUUAGAUACCCCAGUAGUCCCUGUCUCUUAUAC